AUCUGGGUUUUACUUUGCAUGUGAGUUUCUUUUGGGUUUGAUUCAUAUUGUUCUUCAUUUUUCUUUCAUUUUGGGGGUUUUAUUUAUUUAGAUCCAAGUGAUUUUAUUUGUUGUUUGAUGAUUUUCAGAAAUUAGUUUUGUUUGUUCAUCAGAAAUUGGCAAAGAGCCUUAAUCAAUUUUUCAGAAAUUAGUAGUCUGUAAUGAUCGUAGUAAUAGUGGUGUUCAGCGAUUUGUUGUAAUUAACAUAUCAAAUUUACGUCCUAGACAAGAGUGUUUGAGGGUACCCUUAAAUUAGGUACCAAAGGUAUGGGUUUCAUUGAUUGGUUCUUUAUGUCGCUAUGGUUGUCAUAGUUUUUCAUUUUUCCAAUGGGUCUGGACUUUUGUUUGUUUGGAAUGAAAAAAAGUUUGCUCCACUAAUCUAAGCUUUGAAAAAGGAACAGAAGUAUCAGGACCAAUUUUUGGAGGAAGGAAUUAGAUCCGGAACGAGAACUCUAUUGACCUCAAAAUCAGAGCUAAAAUCUAAAAGAACAGAUUGAAUGAUAUUAAGUUGCAGAAUCGAUCCGUGUUUUUAAGCUUGUCCAGUGAUAUUUCAAAGAACUCUAAUCUUCUCAAAGUUGAAGUUGAAAUGGAUGUAUCAAUCUUGUUCCUCUUCUAAUUUCUUUUACCAAAUAAACGGGAUUUUAUUUUUUCUAUCUUUGUCAAGCUGAUUGUAAAUUUGUUGAUUAAUAAAUGAUAUUGUAAUUGAUUAAUAAAAUAAAUUAAUUUGCAUUUAAUUUGGUUAU